rnacentral:ncRNA from 1 species
UACUAGGCAAACCCGUCGAAAGGCGGCGGCGCAAAGCUACAGGGACUUCACCGGAUGGUAAGUCAGCCAGCUGC